AACAAACCAUUUUCUCACAUUCUCUUUUAGUAUCUCUAUCUCUACUAUUUAAAACAUUUGAGUUGCUGAUGAUGGUUUGUUUACCAUCACCACUACUUUGCCUAUAAAUUUUGGUUUAUUUAUCCACCCUGCCUUAGGGAUUUACUGUUUGUCUUAUUUCACUUACACAUUUCAGUAAUUAUCUACAUGCUUGUCAUUUGUAUCCCCUCUAUGAUACCAUUUUCACAUGAAUUAUGCAUGCACAUGUAACAUUUUUAUUUAUUAUGCCAUUGCAACGUACACAAUUUUGCUAGUACCAACAAAAUGAGAAGAGUAGUAAGGAGGAAAUUUCGUAAGUGUAAUGAGGAGGAAUUUUCUUCUCUUUAUGAUAAAUAUUAGCAAGAUUUCAUCUCAUCAUCUGAAGGCGCAUACAAAGAACUUUCAUAGAAACUCUCUGAAUAUGUGGCAAGGAAUUACUGAUCCCUUUUGCUAAUUGGAGCAGGUGAGUACCACCGCAUUCUAUUUCUUUACUGCCCUCUGCAUGUUCCAUUCAUUUGACUACAUGAUUUUGUUACUUGUUUGUUUAGAAUUUCGAUUUUAAGCCACUAUAUUUGCUAAGAUUCUAGAUCCGGGCAGCCCCUAAUCCAUUCUGUUACUUUACCCUAUUGUUUUUUUUUUCAUUCAAUUAUUCAUGCUCUUAUCCAUAUCUGUGUUCCAUUGUUUGCUAGGACACACGUAUGAUGACUUUUUAACAGUAGUUAAUUUCUUAUAUUUCAUAUCAGUAAUUUCUUAGAUCCAGCUCUCAACUGUUGCACUAUUUAUUUUAAUUUUUCCCCGAAGAUCCUUUGUUCUAAUGACUUUGCAGCACAUAAAUUGGUAGCUACUGCCACCAAUUCACCAUACGUGCUAACUCUGAUGUUGUCUUCUUCCUGUGCGAGGCCUAAUUUCUCCCAGCAGCAGGAAAGUUCCUGUGCGAGGCCGGAUGUGCUCUGGGCACUGGGCAGCAACAGCAUGGUCUUUUGUUGUGGAUGUGCUUGCAGAAAAGGAAAGAAAGAUGCAGAGGGAUUUGCCAAGGGAUUUCAGUAAUGAAAUCAGUGUAAUCAUCAUACAGGAACUCUACCAGCUUGACAUGGUUGUGAACGCCAUCCUCUGACCUUUCCAAGUUGCUCACUACUGAUGCUGGAAUGGAGCUUUGGGAGAAGACGUGAGGUUGAUGAUAAACCAAAUUAAGCACAUUCAUAAGGUAAUGGAAAGUUAUUCCUGGCUGCAGUAAAUCAGUUUGUUGAAAAACUCUUUACUCCCUCCUGGCUACGGAAAUAAAACUACAAUAAAGGAUCGUACAAAUAAUUUGCUUGGUAUUUGAUGCGAGCAUGUGGCUUCAUAUUCGAUUGGUAUGUAUAGAUGUGCUGGUCAAUAUCAUUGGUAUUUUUAAAUUUGCUUGUCUUUGUGAUGUUAGCAGCCCUUAAUUUUAAAUCAAGUGAAUAUUUAUUGAGUAGCACGGCCAGCAGAAAGAGUUGAGCUAGGAUAGAAGCUCAUAGUAAGAAUUAAGUUCAAUAAAUGAACUCAGCAGAUCCUUAUUUUUGGUUUCUAUGCCACCGAGUUAUUCAAUUAUAUUAUUCAAAGGGCAGUAUUGGUUUUUGAGUUUAGUUCUGUCAGCAUGAUUUCUAUGCCUGAGACAUGCAGUUAGCAAACUUUGCCAUAAACCUUAAGUGAGCUGUUCCUAUCUCUAGAUAAUAUAUCACAUCAUAUAUAUCAAAAUUGCAAUUUUGAUGCAUGUACAUAUUUGCAUAAAUUUACUGCAGCUUCAUGUUACUAAUGCCAUGUUUCCACACAUUUUUCAGGAAUGUGGGCUCAAGUGGUCUCAUGACAACUGUCAAUUUGCUUCUGGUGCUAAUGGCAAAAGAGUAAGAUGCUACUCCACAAGUUUCCAUCAAUCUAGCUCUUGUAUUGUAACAAAUCAAAUGCUUUUAGAGCUAUUCACAGCUUCUCUUUUUCAUAGUAGCAAUCUGUGUUCCCAACAUACCUUUGUAAGCUUGUGCAAAUGAUCUUUGCUUGCAGUGUGUGCCAUACAUAAUCAGGUGCUGCCGUAAUAAUUAGUAAAUAGGGAUGCAAGUGGUAACAUAAACAUUUGAUGACUCUGUUAGUGUCCUCUUUAGGAACUGAAUAUUUUCUUGGAAAGACCAAAAUUAAACAAUUUAAACACUUUCAAAUGUUGUACUAAAAUGAAACAUAUACAUCUUAUACUAUACAAUUGUCCGGUUUGGAGGAAUUUUGGGCUAAGUAGUUCAUUGGAAAUGAUGGUAAAUGCACUGAAUUUUAAUUUUCAUCCCUUAGCAAAUUGAUAGUCCCUGUCUCCCUCUGAUUUGACUGACCAGAGCAGUAUUUGUCUAUUACGAGUUCAGGAAGUUACUACAUGACUUGAUGUUGUUUCAAUUCCCAGGUGAAUUCUCAGACCUAUGACAAUUUUGAUUAAUGGACAGGGGAUGUCAAAUUAUUUCGGUUGUCAAAUUAGUGUCACCAGAAGAAAUGGUGUUGUCUGGUUGUAAAAUAAUCCAUGGGUAAGUUUGCAAAAAUGAAACCCAUAUAUGGCAUUUUAAAAAAAACAGCAAGAAGAUUGCCUUAUCAACCUUCAGCUCUGCUUGUUAACGACGAGCAUACUCAAAUGAUCCAGUGCUUUGGUGUUAUCUGGCUGGUGAGAUCAAUGAUUACUAGAGACACAUUUCAAUUUGCUUGUUAAUUGUUCAUAAAUUGCAAAUAGGCCCCAUUGCUCAUGCAUCUCCAACCAUAACAAUUUUUCCUUCGCAUGUUACUAUCAGUGGUCUUGGGCCUCCAUCUGUAGCAGG